UCUAUUACUGCAGAUUGCAAAACGAAGAAAAUGUGGAGGCUGAGUAGCCUCUUGCUUAUUGCAGAAGAGGGUGGAUAGGAUUAGAAGGGAGUUGAUCACCGGGUGCCGGGUGGGGUGUCAGAGUCGGGUAACGGUUGCCUUCUUCGAAAACCCAACACUUACUCCCUGCGCUCUCCUUUCCCUCCAAACCCGCCCAGAUUUGGAGCCGCUUCCAACCCGGCGAUGAGAGUACUGCUGACCGAAGAUCGUGCGGCCGGCGCCGUUGCUGCCGGUGGAGGAGGUUACAGAGAUGCCGAAUCCCUCUUCAGAUCGAAGCCCAUAUCUGAAAUUCGCAAUGUGGAGGUCGCCACCAGUAAGCAGAUCCAGGACAAGAAGGAGGAGCUCAGGCAGCUGGUCGGCAAUCGCUACCGCGAUCUCAUCGAGUCCGCCGACUCCAUCGUCCUCAUGAAGUCCUCCUCCGAGUCGAUCUCCGCCAACAUCUCUGCCAUCCGCGACGGUAUCCGUUCGCUCUCCGGCGGAGACAAUAACGCGUCCGCCUUCGAAAUCACGCCCAAAUUGAAGACUCCUGAUCUCACCAGAGCCAGAACAUACGGCAUUGCCUGCCGAGUAAAGUACCUCGUCGACACGCCAGAGAAUAUCUGGGGUUGUCUGGAUGAGUCGAUGUUUCUGGAGGCCGCCGCCCGGUACAUCCGUGCAAAGCUGGUCCACCACAGCCUCCUAAAAAAUGCCGACACCGAUAACAGCAACAUCUUGUCCAAUUUUCCAUUGCUCCAGCAUCAGUGGCAGAUUGUGGAGAGCUUCAAGACUCAGAUUGCCCAGAGGAGUCGCGAAAGAUUGUUGGAGCAGGGGCUUGGCAUCGGUGCCUAUGCGGACGCUCUGGCUGCAGCUGCUGUCAUUGAUGACCUUGACCCAAAGCAGGUUUUGGGUUUGCUCCUUGAUUCGAGGAGAUCGUGGAUAUCCCAAAAAUUAGGUGCUUGUUCCGCAAAUGCCACUUAUUCUGUCGUUGUUUGUGUUUUUUGCGAUGUAUUGAGCAUUAUUCAGGUUAGUAUAGGCCAAGUGGGGGAGUUGUUUUUGCAAGUGUUGAAUGACAUGCCCUUGUAUUAUAAAGUGAUAUUGGGUUCUCCUCCUGCUUCUCAAUUGUUUGGUGGGAUCCCAAACCCUGACCAGGAGGUGAGGCUGUGGAUAUUAUUUAGGGAUAAGCUAGAGUCGGUGACAGUGGUGCUUGACCGGGAGUUCAUUUCCAACACUUGUUUGAAUUGGUUGCGGAAUUGUGGCCGAGAGAUAAUUGCUCGGAUAAAUGGGAGGUAUUUGAUUGAUGCUAUUGGCAGCGGUGAAGAGCUUGCUUCGGCUGAGAAAUUGAUACGGGAGAUGAUGGAUAGCAAGGAAGUCUUGGAAGGGAGUUUGGAUUGGCUCAGGAGCGUUUUUGGUUCUGAAAUAGAGUUGCCUUGGAGCAGGAUUCGAGAACUUGUUUUGAGUAAUGAUUCAGAUCUAUGGGAUGAAAUAUUUGAAGAUGCUUUUGUUCAGAGGAUGAAAGCAAUUAUUGAAUUGAAAUUUGAGGAGUUACCAAGAGUUGCGAAUGUGAUUGAUUCAGUUCGAGCAAUUGCAAUUACUCCUGGAGACAAGAUUGAUUUCCAGGUCUACUUGAACAGGCCUUCUACUGGUGGUGGGAUUUGGUUUAUGGAGCCAAAUGUUAAAAGGACGGGUCUAGUCUCUGGUUUUAAAGUUCAACCUGAGGAGAAUGAUUUCCUUGGUCGUUUGAAUGCAUAUCUUGGUCCUGAAGUUAGUCGAAUUAGGGAUGCAGUAGAUAGCUGCUGUCACAGAGUGCUUGAGGAACUGUUAUGUUUCUUAGAAUCUCCAAAGGCUUCUUUAAGGUUGAAGGAUCUAGCACUGUUUCUACAAAAUAAGUGUUAUGAUAGCAUAUCAACCAUACUUAUGGAGCUUAAGUAUGAGCUUGAGCAGCUAUAUGUUGCUAUGGACAAUGGCAACAAAGAGGGUGAGCAUGUGCCUCCAACUAUAAUUGUUGAAAGAUCUCUUUUCAUUGGGCGGUUCUUGUUUGCACUCCAAAACCACUCAAAAAAUGUUCCAGUGGUCCUUGGUUCACCGAGGUUCUGGGUCAAUGAAACUGUUGCUGCAGUUUUUGACAGGUUACCAUUCCUGUUGAGACAUUCUGGUGUCACCAUGGAUUCUCCUAUGUCUGAUAGUCCUGGACGGCAGAUGCUAACUCCUUCCAGAAGGCAUACUUCGUUGGCUACUGCUGCGUUGCUUGGAGCAAUUGACACUGCAAGCCCAAAACUUGAAGAACUUAGUAAUAUUACCAGGGAUCUUUCCAUUAGAGCUCACAGCUUGUGGAUCUCAUGGGUAUCUGAUAAACUUUCAGCUAUUCUCUUGCAGGAUCUCAAAAAAGACGAAGCAUUAUCAGCAACAGCUCCCUUGAGAGGUUGGGAAGAGACGAUAGUCAAGCAAGAGCAAUCUAGCGAGAGCCACUCCGAGAUGAAAAUUUUACUCCCAUCCAUGCCAUCUCUUUAUGUCACCUCAUUUCUAUUUCAAGCAUGCGAUGAAAUUCAUCGAGUUGGAGGCCAUGUGCUUGACAAAUCCAUUUUGCAAAAAUUUGCACUAACAUUGCUGGAAAAGGUCGUUGGUGCUUAUGGGGACUUCAUUUCAAGUAAUCAGGCCUAUGAAUCUCAAGUGUCAGAGAAAGGAGUUUUGCAAGUUUUGUUGGACGUGAAAUUUGCUGCAGAUGUUCUCUCUGGGGGAGAUUUAAAUACAAAUGAGGACUUACCUAAAAGUCAAAAAGCAAGAUUGCCUUUAAGAAGGAAGCAGGAUCAAAACCAGACGAAGUCGAUCAUUAGAGAGCAUGUCAAUACGUUGGUAAAUCGUCUUUCGCAAAGGCUUGAUCCAAUAGACUGGCUAACGUAUGAACCAUACCUUUGGGAGAAUGAGAGGCAGUCGUAUCUGCGUCAUGCUGUCCUUUUUGGUUUCUUUGUGCAACUCAAUCGAAUGUACAUGGAUUCAGUACAAAAGUUGCCUACUAAUUCUGAAUCAAAUAUAAUGAGAUGUUCUGUGGUCCCUCGCUUCAAAUACCUUCCUAUCAGUGCUCCUGCAUUGUCUUCAAGGGGAACAACUAAGACAUCUAUUCCCACCUCUCUGGAUGAUGUUUCACGAAGUUCCUGGAAGGCUUAUUCGAAUGGAGAGCUCUCUCAAAAUAUUGAUUUUGAUGACAACAUGAGUUUGGGGGUUGCUGCACCAUUCUUCAAGUCUUUCAUGCAGGUUGGAAGCAGAUUUGGAGAGAGUACGCUGAAACUAGGAUCUAUAUUAACUGAUGGGCAAGUAGGCAGAUUCAAAGACAAGUCAGCGGCUGCCAUGUCGACAUUUGGAGAUAUUUUGCCAGUUCAAGCUGCGGGUCUUUUUUCCUCCCUUACAGCCAACAGAUCAGAUACUUGAUUACUGCUAAACCAUUCAGUCCUUGUUUAAGCUUCAAUUGAAAUUCAUCCAUGAAAAGCGGCUCUACAAGAAUUUGCAGAAGGGGAUUUUGUUGCAGAUACAGGGUGCACUUCACUUGAGAGCAUUUAGAGAGCAAACAUGUACAGAAUACGCAGUUUGAGAAUGGAGAGAUGGAAACUUGAAAGUGAUUCGGGAAAUGAAAUGUUGGAAAAACGGAUUACUCGAUGAAUGAAAAGGAGUGAAGAAAAGGACAACUAAAUUAAGCCAACUGCGGGAAUCACCAGAACUUCUGUAGGCCUGGCAUUUAUCAAUCUGGGACUUUUAGGGACUGAAGGUUAUAAAAUCAAGUGAGGUUUGGCCAGUAUAAAUUUUUUUUUUUGAGUUAUUUGUGAAAUGUGUGAGAUUAGUUCAAAGGAAAGCAAAUAUAUACAGAUUAUCAGGUCAGCUCGAAAGCCCAUUCCGGAAUUACCAAUGUGCCUGGGGAUUGGAAUUACACUCCUCUUUUUUGUUCGCGCAGAUAUUGAGAAACCUACAACAUAAAACAGGAAAAAUAAAGGAGAAAAGAUUACAACUGCCAAACAGAGGAUAGACGGCCACUAAUAAAAGGUGUCUUCGCUGCAGAGGGAGAGCUAUUUUUUUCCCCUUCAAGAUUUUUGGUGAUUGAGCUGCUGCGUUGUGUUUGUAGGAAGUCUCUGAAGGCUAAUGGUAUGAUAUCUGAACAUUUCAACAGAUUUUACGUAGAAGAAUUUAGUGAAGAAGGCAAAGGUGAGAAAAAGAAAAGGAUCAAGAGAUAAAAGAAGUAAAUUUUCAUUUUUACGAUUACAUUUUAUUUAUCUAAGCUUCAAUGUCAAAUGACCAUGGAGGUUGAACUCAAGAUUAGUUGAAAAUUUGGGCUACUUGUCAAAUUUCUAUAAUAAUUCUUGUUUGUUUUUUUUUUCUCUACUUUUUGAACCUUCUAUUCAAGUUAUAAUCAAAUCUCUUCAGUUGGAGCAAUGCUGCUACCUUUUGUUCCAAGAAAAAUCCAAAGAGUUCAA